rnacentral:rRNA from 1 species
GAGUGAACGCUGGCGGUAGGCCUAACACGUGCAAGUCGAACGGCAGCACAGUAAGAGCUUGCUCUUACGGGUGGCGAGUGGCGGACGGGUGAGGAAUACAUCGGAAUCUACUUUUUCGUGGGGGAUAACGUAGGGAAACUUACGCUAAUACCGCAUACGACCUACGGGUGAAAGCAGGGGAUCUUCGGACCUUGCGCGAUUGAAUGAGCCGAUGUCGGAUUAGCUAGUUGGCGGGGUAAAGGCCCACCAAGGCGACGAUCCGUAGCUGGUCUGAGAGGAUGAUCAGCCACACUGGAACUGAGACACGGUCCAGACUCCUACGGGAGGCAGCAGUGGGGAAUAUUGGACAAUGGGCGCAAGCCUGAUCCAGCCAUACCGCGUGGGUGAAGAAGGCCUUCGGGUUGUAAAGCCCUUUUGUUGGGAAAGAAAAGCAGCAGGUUAAUACCCCGCUGUUCUGACGGUACCCAAAGAAUAAGCACCGGCUAACUUCGUG